rnacentral:rRNA from 1 species
AUUGAACGCUGGCGGAAUGCUUUACACAUGCAAGUCGAACGGCAGCACGGACUUCGGUCUGGUGGCGAGUGGCGAACGGGUGAGUAACAUAUCGGAACGUAUCCAAUAAUGGGGGAUAACGAGUCGAAAGAUUCGCUAAUACCGCAUACGCCCUACGGGGGAAAGCUGGGGACCUUCGGGCCUGGCGUUAAUAGAGCGGCCGAUAUCUGAUUAGCUAGUUGGUGAGGUAAAGGCUCACCAAGGCGACGAUCAGUAGCUGGUCUGAGAGGACGACCAGCCACACUGGAACUGAGACACGGUCCAGACUCCUACGGGAGGCAGCAGUGGGGAAUUUUGGACAAUGGGCGCAAGCCUGAUCCAGCCAUUCCGCGUGAGUGAAGAAGGCCUUCGGGUUGUAAAGCUCUUUCGCAAGGGAAGAAAACUUAGCCACUAACAUUGGUUGAGGUUGACGGUACCUUGAUAAGAAGCACCGGCUAACUACGUGCCAGCAGCCGCCGUAA